GAUGAACGCUGGCGGCGUGCCUAAUACAUGCAAGUCGAGCGAACGGACGAGAAGCUUGCUUCUCUGAUGUUAGCGGCGGACGGGUGAGUAACACGUGGAUAACCUACCUAUAAGACUGGGAUAACUUCGGGAAACCGGAGCUAAUACCGGAUAAUAUUUUGAACCGCAUGGUUCAAAAGUGAAAGCCGGUCUUGCUGUCACUUAUAGAUGGAUCCGCGCUGCAUUAGCUAGUUGGUAAGGUAACGGCUUACCAAGGCAACGAUGCAUAGCCGACCUGAGAGGGUGAUCGGCCACACGGGAACUGGGACACGGUCCAGACUCCUACGGGAGGCAGCAGUAGGGAAUCUGCCGCAAUGGGCGAAAGCCUGACGGAGCAACGCCGCGUGAGUGAUGAAGGUCUUCGGAUCGUAAAACACUGUUAUUAGGGAAGAACAUAUGUGUAAGUAACUGUGCACAUCGUGACGGUACCUAAUCAGAAAGCCACGGCUAACUACGUG
rnacentral:rRNA from 1 species